CCCUGUCGUACUUGUGCUUAACA
rnacentral:miRNA from 14 species